GCAGCAGCCGCGGUAAUACGAAGGGUGCAAGCGUUACUCGGAAUUACUGGGCGUAAAGCGUGCGUAGGUGGUUAUAUAAGACAGAUGUGAAAUCCCCGGGCUCAACCUGGGAACUGCAUUUGUGACUGUAUAGCUAGAGUACGGCAGAGGGGGAUGGAAUUCCGCGUGUAGCAGUGAAAUGCGUAGAUAUGCGGAGGAACACCGAUGGCGAAGGCAAUCCCCUGGGCCUGUACUGACGCUCAUGCACGAAAGCGUGGGGAGCAAACAGGAUUAGAUACCCCAGUAGUCCCUGUCUCUUAUAC
rnacentral:rRNA from 1 species